GCGCUUCUUCAAAAAGUCUGCAGCACUCCUUUUGCGCAAACACCACUCGCACUACGAGUCAGAAUGUGGUCUUCCGCGCUUGCGCUUGUCCUUUGGGCUCUGCUGAUUCCUGGAUCUUCUGCCCAGAAUUUUCUGAGGCAGACGGACAGACUCAUGUCUGUCUCUCUCGGAGGAAGGGUGACCAUCAGGGCCACAGGGAGUCAAAACAUUGGUGACGAUCUCAGUUGGUACCAAGUGAAACCUGGACAGGCUCCCAAACUGCUCAUCUACGACGCAUCAACAAAAUACUCCAACGCGCCAUCUCGAUUCAGCGGCACUCGAUCCGGCUCUGACUACACUCUGACCAUCAGUGGUGUCCAGAGAGAUGACCUGGCCGAAUACUACUGUUUCGCCUACUACGGCGAUGGCAGGUCGACACGGUGACGCAGAGACGUACAAAAACCUCCUUGGACUUUUGAGGGAAGUGAAAGUGGUCUGUAGAAGGUGGCAAGUGAAAAGCAGAAGACAGAAGAAUGCUCAACAUAACCGGUCAGAAUUCAA